rnacentral:rRNA from 1 species
AGACUGGGAUAACUUCGGGAAACCGGAGCUAAUACCGGAUAACAUAUAGAACCGCAUGGUUCUAUAGUGAAAGAUGGUUUUGCUAUCACUUAUAGAUGGACCCGCGCCGUAUUAGCUAGUUGGUAAGGUAAAGGCUUACCAAGGCGACGAUACGUAGCCGACCUGAGAGGGUGAUCGGCCACACUGGAACUGAGACACGGUCCAGACUCCUACGGGAGGCAGCAGUAGGGAAUCUUCCGCAAUGGGCGAAAGCCUGACGGAGCAACGCCGCGUGAGUGAUGAAGGUUUUCGGAUCGUAAAACUCUGUUAUUAGGGAAGAACAAAUGCGUAAGUAACUGUGCGCAUCUUGACGGUACCUAAUCAGAAAGCCACGGCUAACUACGUGCCAGCAGCCGCGGUAAUACGUAGGUGGCAAGCGUUAUCCGGAAUUAUUGGGCGUAAAGCGCGCGUAGGCGGUUUCUUAAGUCUGAUGUGAAAGCCCACGGCUCAACCGUGGAGGGUCAUUGGAAACUGGGAAACUUGAGUGCAGAAGAGGAAAGUGGAAUUCCAUGUGUAGCGGUGAAAUGCGCAGAGAUAUGGAGGAACACCAGUGGCGAAGGCGACUUUCUGGUCUGUAACUGACGCUGAUGUGCGAAAGCGUGGGGAUCAAACAGGAUUAGAUACCCUGGUAGUCCACGCCGUAAACGAUGAGUGCUAAGUGUUAGGGGGUUUCCGCCCCUUA